CUCGCCGUAGCUCAGCAGGACAGAGCGCCGCCGUCCGAAGGCGGAAGUCGCACGUUCGACUCGUGCCGGCGAGGCCA
rnacentral:tRNA from 1 species